GUGCGACACUGUAAUCUUUCUCGAAUCAUUUCAAAAGAUCCGAAAAGAUUCGAAAAGAUUCAAGGUGAUUCGGCGGGAUUAAAAAAAAAACGGGCACCCGUCAGUUAAAUUGAAAUAACUGAACCAUUUCGUUCAGUGUUUGUUUUGGUUUGGAAGAGCGCUGGUCGUGGGAUCUGAAAAUGAUAAAAUUUUUCUAAACAGUGGAAUCAGAAUACCCAUACGGGAUUGUCGACACCUUCCACGGUCCAUAGUACGAAUAAUCGACGCGAUGGUCGCGCAAUGCGUCCGAUUAGUUUGCCGCCGAUGGAUCCGCGCCGUAGGAACAAAUGCAAGAAACAUCGCGUCGCAAGGAUUCGCAUGAUUGUCCGUCGCGAUCAAUUCCUUUGCCAGAACCAGCCGAGCAGAUCCAACAUCCGUGACCUACCUACCUAAACGGAGAAAGCUCCGUCGCCAAACUCACAAGUGGAGAAAUACAAAAGCAUUACGGAAUA